GCCAGUAUUAGCUUUCUCCAGAAACCGUUCAACAGGGGGAACCUUGAUUGAUUGCAGCUCUGGUGAUCUUGAAAGUAAAGAUCUUAUAUACAAAAUUCUUACACGAGAGACUAACAUCGUAUCCAUAACCCUCCUAGGUUCCAUUUUGCGAAUGAAAGAAAAAACAGCAUCUCUGAUUUCAGCAAGUAUUUCAUGUUCCCGUG
rnacentral:misc_RNA from 1 species